CCUACGGGGGGCAGCAGUGGGGAAUAUUGGGCAAUGGAGGCAACUCUGACCCAGCAACGCCGCGUGAAUGAUGAAGGUCUUCGGAUUGUAAAGUUCUGUGAUGGGGGAUGAACACAAUGACGGUACCCCAAUAGCAAGCCACGGCUAACUACGUGCAAGCAGCCGCGGCAAUACGUAGGUGGCAAGCGUUAUCCGGAUUGACUGGGCGUAAAGGGUGCGUAGGUGGUUUAGUAAGUUGGCGGUGUAAUUCCGGGGCUCAACCUCGGCGCUACCGCCAAAACUAUUAGACUAGAGUGCAGGAGGGGUAAGUGGAAUGCCUGGUGUAGCGGUGGAAUGCGUAGAGAUUAGGAGGAACAUCAGGGGCGAAGGCGACUUACUGAACUGUAACUGACACUGAGGCACGAAAGCGUGGGGAGCAAACAGGAUUAGAUACCCGUGUAGUC
rnacentral:rRNA from 1 species